UCCUUUCAAUCUGUGACGAUCCUGUCACGUUUUUUUUUCAAGUAAAAGCUUUUUAAUUUUUUUUUCUUUUCAACCUUGGUUAUUUAACUUUGUCAACUAUUAAGUAUUAACCUUGUAAGCUUUGAUUAAUUUUUCUUUCGGGAUAUUAUAUCAAGUGACUAACUUUAGGUAAUAUUAUUUGUUGUAGAUGGAAAUUUCGUAGGAGGCGAAUUUUAGUUGAUAUUGCUAUACUUGGGAAGCGUUUGAGGUUGGUGAAAGGGACUACGUUGCAGGAAUGAGUGAAUUUAUAGUUUUUAAGUUCACCUAGUUUAAUAAACACUACAGUACUGCCAUUUGAGAUUGUUUAGUUUUGUUUUGGUAUAAAGUAGACAACUUAGUUUGGUUUAUUUUGAUACUUUGGUUUGUGAGUAAAAUUUUUAUUUCUAAUAA